GGAAAAGGAAAGCAAGGUUAUAAAUAAUAGGUAAAGCCUUCUUUCUUGUUUCUGCAAUUGCAUAUCGAGAAUUUGUUCUUCCUUUUUUGCCGUUUUGGGUUUCGAAGCUCUAUGUCUCAAUCCUUCCGUACCAUAAUCAGACUUACCUUCUUCUGCAACAGCUCUCAAUACCAGAUUACCAGGUAUACCUUACUCCUCCCUCUUGAGUCUUGACUCGCUCGUUUCUUUUCCACUCAGGUUGCCAUUUGAGACGCUGCAUACGCCCUGGUGUUUGAUUCUUUAUUUUUUUCUACUGCUUGCUUUUGGAUCAGGUUGCGAUCAUGGAUCUUUGGAAGGAAUUGGAGCCGUACUGAUCGAAGAUCGAUGCCUUACCCCUACGCGGGGAGAAUUUACCUUGAAAUAAUCAAUCCUCUUUGCUUAGGGUUUCAUUGCUCUCUGUUUAUUAAGUAUUUCUUUUUCAUGCGAUUUCAUAAUGUUUGUUUCUAAUUUGUGCGUUUAGAUUUUCAGGUGGAUGUUUUCAAGAUGCCUAAAUCUAGGAAUGAAGAUUGUCCCGAUAGGAGUCAUCGCUGUGACAAGGAAAGGAACAAGAUAGAUCGUGAUGGAUGCCGAUUGGAGAAGGAUAAGCGUAUUGGCUCCGUUAUCAAGCUUCAUUGGGUGAAGGAUCGAUCACAGGAGAAAGGCGAAGGAACUGAGUCCGGAUCACCAGCAAAUACAAUGGCUAUUUGCUCGACCAAAUAAAUCCAACGGAUCUCAUUUAAGUGGGUAUUUUUAUCCAAACAAACAAUUCAAGUUUAAAAAAUUUCCUUUUUUUUUACGAAAUCGACAUACAUGUUUUUCAUUGCAUCUUUAAAGUCUUACGGUUUACAUGUACGUUGGUUGCCAGAAGUUGCAACUCACAAGUGAAUUACAUCGGGAGAUGCACCUAAUCAUAUUUCGAUUAAUCUGCAUGGUAUCCUUACACUCCACCCCACCAUAACGAUCGUCCGAAGACAUUCAUAUCACCGAACUAAAUUAGACUCGAAACUUAAAAAACUACGUAAGACAUAACCAAAUUCAGAAACAGAGUUCAAGACAUAACUAACAAAAAGCAGAAACAAUUAAUCAUCUGGUGGCUUUGAUGGGAUCGGC
rnacentral:lncRNA from 1 species